UACGAAGGGGGCUAGCGUUGCUCGGAAUCACUGGGCGUAAAGGGCGCGUAGGCGGCGUUUUAAGUCGGGGGUGAAAGCCUGUGGCUCAACCACAGAAUGGCCUUCGAUACUGGGACGCUUGAGUCUGGUAGAGGUUGGUGGAACUGCGAGUGUAGAGGUGAAAUUCGUAGAUAUUCGCAAGAACACCGGUGGCGAAGGCGGCCAACUGGACCAGCACUGACGCUGAGGCGCGAAAGCGUGGGGAGCGAACGGG
rnacentral:rRNA from 1 species